rnacentral:rRNA from 1 species
AUACGGAGGGUGCAAGCGUUACUCGGAAUCACUGGGCGUAAAGCGCGCGCAGGCGGUCUUUUAAGUUGGAUGUGAAAGCCUACGGCUCAACCGUAGAACUGCAUCCAAAACUAUUAGACUAGAGUGUGGGAGAGGAAGAUGGAAUUAGUUGUGUAGGGGUAAAAUCCGUAGAGAUAACUAGGAAUACCAAAAGCGAAGGCAAUCUUCUGGAACACUACUGACGCUGAGGCGCGAAAGCGUGGGGAGCAAACAGGAUUAGAAACCCCGGUAGUCA